rnacentral:lncRNA from 1 species
GUCUCCAGCCACUGAGGAGAGGGGGGGGGGUCCUACUACAGAAAGGUGUCAUUAGGCCCAUAAGACCUCACUCUGGAGGAGAGCACAGAGUCGAGCGGAGGAGAUAAUCUCUUCACUGAACGGAUACGGAGGGAGAGAAACUGGACUGGCGUCAGGCCUGUACGACUGCCUAACCCACCCCGGGAUAACCACAGGUUAAAACCACGUGAACCAUCUGAAGAAGACCAAGACUGUUCCUGAUGAGAACCACUUUUAUACAUAAUAAGAUACUUAACCAGCAUUCACUGCAAAUAUGAAAAGGGUUUGGGGUUAGUCCUCAGCAGUUCGAGUAGCACCAAGGGGUCUGAGGACUAGUAAUGGAAAGUUGAUCAGACUAGCUGAGAUGACCAGUGGACACUACUCUAGCCAAGCCAUUCACCACGGCAACCAGAUAAUUCCAGGAAGGAAUGGAGAGAGGGGAUUGACCAAUGGAAGUUGAGAGAAUGUCAGUGUGUUCUAAAGCAACGUGUAGAGAACUCAUCUUCUGACGAGUCAUUGGGAUGUCCGGGCUGAGCGAGAGAGAGCGAGAACACUACUACCUAGUAUGUAUAUGUGAUGGAGACAGAUUGGCCAUGAGGGAGCAUGCAGGUGUAGCAGGGUUGGCAGAACUUGGCACAUAAAUUAUAUGAUCUCAUAAGGUGAAUGCACCAAUUUGUAAGUCGCUCUGGAUAAGAGCGUCUGCUAAAUGACGUAAAUGUAAAAUGGUCAAUGUAAAGAGAUACGUGUAAAACAUUAAUACAGGACAGUCAAGGACAUGGGUGGUGAAGCUAGAUUGCAGUUCAAUGAAAUACCUAUGACAAUGAAUGAGAAAUCAUGAAAAGAAUAGGUUUGUAUUGAGACAAACUUUUAGGAACAGGCAAACAGGAGACAAUGUAAGACAUAGGAAGAUGAAAGAGCACUUACUAUUUGCCUCUACAGGGUCAAAUUGACUGGCCCCCUAGCAGGCCAACCAAACAGCCUUCUCCUCUCUGAUACAGAUUACUCUCACUCAUAAUAGUAGCAGAUGUUGUGGCAUCUAGAAAGACUAGACACUACAGUGAGGUUACACCACCAGACUACAGUGAGGUUACACUACCAGACUACAGUGAGGUUACGCUACAGUGAGGUUACACUGCCAGACUACAGUGAGGUUACACUGCCAGACUACAGUGAGGUUACACUACAGCGAGGUUACACUACAAUGAGGUUACACUACCAGAAUACAGUGAGUUACACUACAGUGAGGUUACAGUGAGUUUACACUACAAUGAGGUUACACUGCCAGACUACAGUGAGGUUACACUGCCAGACUACAGUGAGGUUACACUGCCAGACUACAGUGAGGUUACACCACUAGACUACAGUGAGGUUACAUUUAAGUGAGAUACAGUACUAGAUUAGAGUGAGGUUACACUACCAGACUACAGUGAGAUUACACUACAGUGGGGUUACAGUACUAGACUACAGUGAGAUUACACUACAGUGGGGUUACAGUACUAGACUACAGUGAGGUUACACUACAGUACACCAGACUACAGUGAGGUUACACCACCAGACUACACUGAGGUUACACCACUAGACUACAGUGAGCUGUAGAACGGACAGACAGAGUUUUAGAACAGAGGGAGAGCUGUAGAACAGAGGGCACAGAGAGAGAGAGAGCUUUUGAACAGAGGGAGCGACUUGUAAUGUUCAGCCUGUUAUUAAAAUACAACCAGCUGAGAUGUGCAUAUGAAUGAUCCUAUUUAUGAGAUGUACUAUAUAUUUAUUUUAUUACAUAUAUAAAGUAUAAAUCUAUUUAUUUAUUGCAAAGACUAUUUUGUAAUGAACUUGACGUUAUCACAACUGUAGAUUCUACUGAAAACUGUUAUUAAAUGAAUUUGGCAAUAAAA